rnacentral:rRNA from 1 species
UACGUAGGGUCCGAGCGUUAAUCGGAAUUACUGGGCGUAAAGCGUGCGCAGGCGGUUUUGUAAGCCAGAUGUGAAAUCCCCGGGCUUAACCUGGGAACUGCAUUUGUGACUGCAUGGCUGGAGUGCGGCAGAGGGGGAUGGAAUUCCGCGUGUAGCAGUGAAAUGCGUAGAUAUGCGGAGGAACACCGAUGGCGAAGGCAAUCCCCUGGGCCUGCACUGACGCUCAUGCACGAAAGCGU